rfam:Chryseobacterium gleum ATCC 35910 genomic scaffold SCAFFOLD4, whole genome shotgun sequence.
CCACUGAUAAUGUAAUGGCAGCAUGCAGGAACUGUACUCUUGUUGUCCGGGUUCGAUUCCCGGUUAGUGGU